CUCCCGGCUCCCGCGGGCCCCCACCUGCCCUUCUUGCCCUGGCGCCGCCUCCAGCCCAGCCCGUUUCUUGCAGAUUUUAGCUUCUCCCUUGCCUGCCGCCUUUCCCGUUUCGGCUCGGUGAAGCUACCUAUGGGUUGCUGUUCAUUUAACAAACGGUGAUCCGGAUAAACAUGUUCACUUCUUCGCCUGGGCAAACUUUCCAGCCCCCGACCCACUCAUGUCACGAUACCUUCCCGUGUCCAAGUCCGGCUCUCUGCUCCCCACUUUUUUUUUUUUUUUUUUUUGAGACAGAGUGUUUCUCUGUCUCCCAGGCUGGAGUGCAGUGGCGCGAUCUCAACUCACAGUACCCCCUGCCUCCCGGGUUCAAACGAUUUUCUUGCCUCAGCCUCCUGAGUAGCUGGGAUUACAGGCGCGCGCCACCACAGCCGGCUAAUUUUUAUGUUUUAGUAGAGACAGGGUUUCACCAUGUUGGCCAGGAUGGUCUCCAUCUCUUGACCUCGUGAUCCGCCCGCCUCGGCCUCUCAAGGUGCUGGGAUUACAGGUGUGAGCCGCCGCGCCCGGCCUCUUUGCUCUUUUAUACUCUCAGAAGCAAUGAGUUCUGGUUAAAAAAAAGGGCUCGAUAGACGGAAAAAAUGAAGGCUUAAAGAACUGACAACAAAAUAUUAACAUUUGGCUUGUGGAAUUCUUACACUCUCGUAAGCAGAAAAAACAAAUGUUAUGGCAAAAAAGUGUCUCAGACAAAUCCGUCUUGGGGGGAAAAAAAUUAAAAGAAUGAGAAAAACAGACUUCGGAAUAAAUAGACCCAAAGGAGGAAGUAUUGAAAAUGGCAAGAUUCACUUUUACAAACUUAUUUGGAACCACGGCAGAUGGCCAGGGCAGGGAUUUUGCAAGGCAGCUCCAGUUGUAAGUAAAACCUGAAACAAUGGUUUAUUUCCACUCUCAUUGAAAGUGCUGUCUUAUUUUUACAGGAAAGAGUGAUGAUGGGAAUAUUAGGCUUUAAUUCGAGAUCUGAGCUGGUUAAAAAUAAAAACGUUUAUUAUUCCAGAAAAAUCUACGUCAGUGUUUUUAAAUGUUCUGAUUUGAAAAAAUAUUUGUAUAUUUUAUCUGAAUAUUAGUUAUUAUCAAAUGAUGUAAAAGAAAUUUGUAAAGGCUGUACCAUAAUUGUAACAAUAAGGUUUUUCUGUAGAGCAGAGGUAUAGAAAAAUUAACAUUUUUUAAAGUCCUGCAUAUUUUUAAAACAGUGAUAUUUAUGUUUUUCCUUGCAAAACAAUUUUAAGAAACCUUUAAAUUGUUAAUAGUUUACAUGCUUAUAAAAUGUUUUAUAUAUAUCAUUUCUAAAAAUCGUAAUUUUUUUAAGUGAGUUUCUAGGUAUACCUUAUGGGAGUGUUUCACAGGUACAUGUCAUCUGUUAUUUUUUGGAGUGGAAAUGGGUAAGAAGCAUACACCAAAUGUAUCAAAUGUUUUUACUAUAGAUACUUUUGCCUCUGAAAGAUGGCAUUGUAGAAUAUAGUCUUCUCAUCGUAUUGUUCAGUAUACUUUCUCUUGAAAUCUCAGGUAUUCAAAAAAAAAAGUCGUUGUUUUGCUAGAUGCAGGAAAAAAGUAAACGCAGUGAACAAAAGAUGGCCAACAGUAAAGGUACCCAAGCAAGGAUCACAGUCUCAAGGAAUGUCAAGUAGAAAUUUGUGGGAAAAUACCACUCACGUUCAGUCAACUUUCUGUAACAAACUGGAAUUUGACCUAGACAGGAAGUGAGAAGCUAGGGCCAAAAGUGUUGUUAUUAAAGAGAGGAUCUGCUUUUUUAAAGAAAAUAAAACCCUGGACCUUGGAGGUUUAGCACUGGAAGCACUGAGGCCCUCCACUAUGGCCCUUGGGCUUUCAGUUCCCCCUUGUGAUUCUUUCUCUUUGAUAUCUGCUGCCCAUAGCAAUCUGGCUUCCAGAGCCCUCUAUGUCAAUACACACAUCUCUUCCCUUGGUCCUGCUUAGCAAGCUAAGAAAAGCUGAAUUAAGACAAAACAGAGUACUUAAUGUAUGGGGAAAAUAAAAGUGAAAGAAAUAUAAUUCCUAAUAUUUCCUGAGUAUUGAUUCUGUGCCAAGCAUUGCAUUAUUUCCUUGAAUUCUUGCAACUAGAUAAGAACUGUUACUAUCCCCAUUUUAAACACAAGGUAAGUAGGUUAAGUGCCCAUGUCACACAGCUGCUGAGUAACACAGUCAAGAUUCCAGACUUCAUACUUCAGAACCCACAGCCAUAACCACUAAUCUGUCUCAAGUUUCAUACAACCAGGCACAAAUUAUGCAAGAAACAGAGGGACUUAGGAAGUCCAAAAUAUGGACUUAGCUCUAAAAUACUGACCACAGUGUAUGGGUAUCUUCUUCACUGUUUUCCAUCCCAUCUUUGCAUGACUGCUUUUAUUUGAUUUUUUAAGGUGGUCAUCAUGACCCAGUAAGUUGAUUUUGUGAUCGGUUAAAGGGUAGCUACUCAGAAAAACACUAAUCAGAAUCCAAAAUACAAAAUAUCAGAUUGUAUCACAUGUAAUAAGGGUAUUUUUUUCCCAACACAAAUUAGGGGAAACUUUCAGCCACAUGUGUGUAUUCUGGGUUGCAACGUUAAAUGUAUUUCAUACUAUGGAUUUCAAUCAAAAAAAAUUUGAAAAACACUAUUAUAACCACGCCUUGCCUAACUAACAUGCAUCAUUUAUCCUUCAGGAUCAAGACCAAGGGAAACAAAAUCCCAUUCUGCAAUCCCCUUACAUUCCUCUCUUAAGUCCCAGGAUCUGGUUUGAUGAUCUCUUCCCAGGAGCAGUUGAUUUCUCACCGCCCACCCCCGACCCCACCACUAUUGAUCAUGAGGUGCUUUGAGGGGUCCGGGUUUGGAGGACUGAAACACCGUGGGAUCUUGGAACAGCUCUUCCUUGUUGGUGAUCCCUUAUUAAGAAGCCCUCCAGCCUGACAAUGCUGAAGCCCUGGAGGUUGGAGCCACUCAGGAAGAAGCUCAGCCCUGGAAAAGCAAAAACCCAUUGGAUCCAGAGGUGCCUGAGUUGGAGAUGAACUUUGGAACUUCCCUCAUAACCGUACUAAAAUCCCUGACCAGAGAGUAACUUAUUUGCCAUUUUCUAUACAUGUGACAUAUGUAGAAGCAUGAUCAAUGACAGCACAUGUGCUAUUAAUAUCUUGCUCCAUCUCGACAUACAGUGACUCAGCUCACCAGGCCAACAAAAGGCCUGUUUUCACCUUUGAUUGGAGGAGGCACUCCUUUGAGAACUAUCCCCCAUGUCCUCCUCAUUUGUUGCCACUAAUAAAAUCCCUUUAAGUCCCCAUUGCUUAAGUCCCCAUUGGUUGUGGUCACUGGACUGCCACCUGCCAUGUGAUGGCACUGACCCGUUGUAUGGGUAACAAAACUUAUACAGUGUAUCACUGUCCUGGAUACUGCAGGCAAUUGGAAUGCAAUGCUAAGCAUUUGCAUAACUAAACAUAGAAAAGGUACAGUAGGACUAGGUGUGAUGGCUCACACCUGUAGUCCC